AUUGAACGCUGGCGGCAUGCCUUACACAUGCAAGUCGAACGGCAGCACGGGUGCUUGCACCUGGUGGCGAGUGGCGAAAGGGUGAGUAAUACGUCGGAACAUGUCCUGUAGUGGGGGAUAGCCCGGCGAAAGCCGGAUUAAUACCGCAUACGAUCUACGGAUGAAAGCGGGGGACCUUCGGGCCUCGCGCUAUAGGGUUGGCCGAUGGCUGAUUAGCUAGUUGGGGGGGUAAAGGCCUACCAAGGCGACGAUCAGUAGCUGGUCUGAGAGGACGACCAGCCACACUGGGACUGAGACACGGCCCAGACUCCUACGGGAGGCAGCAGUGGGGAAUUUUGGACAAUGGGCGAAAGCCUGAUCCAGCAAUGCCGCGUGUGUGAAGAAGGCCUUCGGGUUGUAAAGCACUUUUGUCCGGAAAGAAAUCCUUGGCCCUAAUACGGUCGGGGGAUGACGGUACCGGAAGAAUAAGCACCGGCUAACUACGUG
rnacentral:rRNA from 1 species